rnacentral:rRNA from 1 species
GACGGAAGGUGCAAGCGUUGCUCGGAAUCACUGGGCGUAAAGGGUGCGUAGGCGGCCGUGCAAGUCUGGCGUGAAAGCCCCGGGCUCAGCCCGGGAAGUGCGCUCGAAACUGCGCGGCUCGAGUGCCGGAGGGGAGAGUGGAAUUCCUGGUGUAGCGGUGAAAUGCGUAGAUAUCAGGAGGAAUACCGGUGGCGAAGGCGGAUCUCUGGGCCAUUACUGACGCUGAGGAGCGAAAGCGUGGGGAGCGAACAGG